rnacentral:misc_RNA from 1 species
UGAGUAUCCAAUUAGUGCACUGUUGAAAAACCUUGAAGGAUGAAAGUACUGAAAAAAAACCCCCAUGAUUUUAAGUGCUAUUAUGUAACAUACAAUUAAGAUAAUUUGCCUUAUCAGCAAUCUAUAUGUCAUAAUGUUAUAUGGUUUCAAUUUUUGCAAACUUCAUGCUGGAAAGGUUUUACAAAUAGAUGUUAUAGGUGGAAACAGAAAGUUAAGUUUGCAUGCAUUUAUUUUUCAACAAUGUUAGAAUUAAUUAGAGAGAGAAAUGAAGCAUUGCAUAGCAUUUAUAUACUUGCUAUUGUUUAUAGAUUUUGCAAGGAUAGGUGUGAUACCUCUAGCUGUAUGCCUGUAUCUAUUAAUAGUUUUUUGAUCUCCUCUGCAAAUCUUCUUUGGAGAGUGGAGACCUAUCUUUAGGGGGGAAGACAUGGGUUUGUUAAAGUUGUCAUCGUCAAUAAUGAUAAUUUUAAAGUUCCUUGUCCUUCGUCUUCCACUGAAGCUUCUGCAGAAGAAAUUAUCACUUCAAGUUAUUUUUUGGUCUGAUCUUAUAUGUGCAAAAGUUUGUUUAAUAUAGUUAACUACGCAAUUAGUCAAAUGACAAUGCUCAUCGGGUAAACCAUAAGCAUGUGGAUGAGAAGCCCCU